GGGAUUUUGAGUCUCUGUGCUUGUGAAUUCUGUUUUGGAUAUUAUUGGUGCAAUUGUUGGACAAAAUGACUUGCUGUGGUAUUAAUUGCACUAAUAGAGCGUCCAAGGAGUCUCCACUUCAUUUUUUUUGGGAAGGACCUGAUUGGUGUCCAGAACCUGCUGAAGAAGCACCAGGCUCUGCAGGCUGAGAUCACAGGUCAUGAACCUUGCAUCAAGACUGUCACCCAGAAAGGAGAGACCAUGGUGGAGGAAGGUAGAGCAGGUCUGGUCCUGACAUGUUUCUGAGGUGUCUGCAGGUUCUGGCUCACUUUUUUUGGGUCCAGGUCACUUCGCUGGUGAGGAAGUGAAGACUAAACUGUGGGAGCUUCAUGGACGUUGGGACAUGCUGAAGGCCAAGGCGUCCCAGAGGAGGCAGGACCUGGAGGACUCUCUGCAGGCCCAGCAGUACUUUGCGGAUGCUAAUGAGGCCGAGUCCUGGAUGAGGGAGAAGGAGCCCAUCGUUGGAAGUCCAGACUAAGGGAAAGACGAGGACUUGGCCGAGGCUCUCCUGAAGAAGCACGAGGCCCUGAUGUCGGACCUGUCGGCUUACGGCAGCAGCAUCCAGGCCCUGAAGGAGCAGGCCCAGUCCUGCAGGCAACAAGGUGAUCAGCAGGUGCUUUUGUCCUGCAGGACCUGAAGGCCAACGAGUCACGCCUGAGGGACAUCAACAAGGUGGCAUCUGAACUGGAGUCAGAAGGUCUGAUGGCUGAGGAGGCUCCUAUGGUUCAGGCUCAGGUGAGCGUCACCUGUCUGCAGCAGCUGGUCCCUCUCACUUCCUGGUUUAACUCUGCUCGUCUCUGUUUGUAGCAACAAGAACAUCUGGGUUCUGCUCCUGGAAAGGUGCAUGUUGUCCUCCGCCUCCACCAGAACCAGACGUGGUGUUUUUGUUACCACUCAUUUGUUUGUUUGUUUGUUUGUUUACAGGAUGAAGCCGACUCUAACACGGCGUCACCCUGGAAGGUGAGUUCAUUCAGCUGAUCAGAGGUCACCUCUGAUGGCCGCAGUCACGGCCGACCGUGCUGACAUCACACAGGAAUUCAGGUGACCCGGCAGGCACCAGGUGCUGGUGAAAGUGGGGACAUGUCAGCUGGUUGCCAUGGCUACAGUUAUCUUUAUGCAUCUGUAUGACUGCUGACUGGUGUGUGUUUCCUGUGACCUUUGACCUCAGACCGUACGGUUGGGCAUUCAGAUGACGGCUAACUUUAAUUCCAUCAAGGUAAGAGGAAGCUCUUCCCUUCCUGUCUGAGCGAUCCGUCUCCAGGUUUCCUCGUCCGGCGUCCAGCCCGCUGGCGUCCACCUUCAUCUCAUCUCACUUCAUUUAUAGUGCAAUACUUUCACAUUAUCAUUUUCCCACACUUCUGUAUACCUGUAUUUUGUUGUUUUUCAAUAAAGAAUGACAAAUUA